rnacentral:rRNA from 1 species
AGAUUAGAAAGUUACUUCGGUACAUCGGUGACAGGUGGUGCAUGGUUGUCGUCAGCUCGUGUCGUGAGAUGUUGGGUUAAGUCCCGCAACGAGCGCAACCCCUAUUGUUAGUUGCCAUCAUUCAGUUGGGCACUCUAGCGAGACUGCCGGUAAUAAACCGGAGGAAGGUGGGGAUGACGUCAAAUCAUCAUGCCCCUUAUGACCUGGGCUACACACGUGCUACAAUGGUUGGUACAACGAGUUGCGAGUCGGUGACGGCGAGCUAAUCUCUUAAAGCCAAUCUCAGUUCGGAUUGUAGGCUGCAACUCGCCUACAUGAAGUCGGAAUCGCUAGUAAUCGCGGAUCAGCACGCCGCGGUGAAUACGUUCCCGGGCCUU